UACGAAGGGUGCAAGCGUUACUCGGAAUUACUGGGCGUAAAGCGUGCGUAGGCGGUUUGUUAAGUCUGUCGUGAAAGCCCCGGGCUCAACCUGGGAAUGGCGAUGGAAACUGGCGAGCUAGAGUACGGUAGAGGAGAGUGGAAUUCCCGGUGUAGCAGUGAAAUGCGCAGAUAUCAGGAGGAACACCGGUGGCGAAGGCGGGUCUCUGGGCCGAUACUGACGCUGAGGAGCGAAAGCGUGGGGAGCGAACAGG
rnacentral:rRNA from 1 species